rnacentral:lncRNA from 1 species
GUUCUGCUAGUUUCUGGCAGAAAUGACGGGGAGAUGACUUAACCUCUCUGAGCCUCAUGUUCCACAUCUGAGAAGGCAGGGAUCUGGCCUAUCCAGCAGGGUUCUUUCAGGGACUAGAGGCAGUGUUGCUGAAGAUCCUGGCACGGGGUGUGGGUUCCUUGGUUGGGGGGCGGAGGGGGACCCCCGCACCGUGGUAGCUCCUGUCACUGUGCACAGAGGCCACCGUGUGGAGGUAAGGAUGCUGCUGUCUCCCAGCUCAAAGCCUGGGCACAGCCAGGGUGCCCUGGUUCAGCUUCACCCCGAUGCUGUGGCUCCCGCCCGCCAGAGGGGAGGUGCAGCUGCAGGGUCCAAGCCGGAAGUUGAAACCCUCUGUUUCCUGUAGGUAUUUUCGAAAUGCUUCCUUUGGGGCCUGCGGCAAAUCCAGGGCAGGCACCAGAGUGAAGAAAUAGAGAGACAAGGCCCCUGGUGGGAUGUUCACCUUCUGAUGUUCCUUCUCAACCCGGCACUGAGUCAGAGCCCCUGAGGCGGGAGCCAGCCAGUCCCAAGGCGCCCCUGCUCCUGUCACUGCCCCGGAGCCAGGUUCUUAACGGGAUCUGUGGCACCCCCAGAACGGAGGCACCCCUUAUCCAAGCAGAUGAGGAAACUUCGGCCUGGACAUGGAGCCUGACUUGCUGGGUCCCACAGCUGGUUAACUGCCCGCCAGGGCCACUUGCCAUUUCUUCUGCAAAGGGUGUGUUUGAAUCACAGCAGACCUCCUGUUGGGGAGGUAGUGUGGAGGAAGAGGAGGGCUGUACUUGGGGCAGGACGACCCCGCUUUGAAUCUUUGCUCCACAGUAUAUUUCCUACAUAUGAACCUUCACGUUGUGAAUUUUCAAAGAUGAGAACAUGUGCUCCGUCAGUGUCAGGCGUGAGUGAAAUGGCAACUUGCCCUUCCUCUCCUACUGCCGCUGAUCCUUCAGCUCUACCAUCUCUCACCUCCGCUCCCUCCUCCAGUCACUAACUCUUCUCCUCUUUUCACUCAACGUCAGCCCCUGUAUGCAAGCUGUUGUAC